UAGGGAAUCUUCCACAAUGGACGCAAGUCUGAUGGAGCAACGCCGCGUGAGUGAAGAAGGCUUUCGGGUCGUAAAACUCUGUUAUUGAAGAAGAACGUGCGUGACAGUAACUGGUCAUGCAGUGACGGUAUUCAAUCAGAAAGUCACGGCUAACUACGUGCCAGCAGCUGCGGUAAUACGUAGGUGGCAAGCGUUGUCCGGAUUUAUUGGGCGUAAAGCGAGUGCAGGCGGUCUUUUAAGUCUGAUGUGAAAGCCUUCGGCUUAACCGAAGAAGGGCAUCGGAAACUGGGAGACUUGAGUGCAGAAGAGGAGAGUGGAACUCCAUGUGUAGCGGUGAAAUGCGUAGAUAUAUGGAAGAACACCAGUGGCGAAGGCGGCUCUCUGGUCUGUAACUGACGCUGAGGCCCGAAAGCGUGGGUAGCAAACAGGAUUAGAUACCCUGGUAG
rnacentral:rRNA from 1 species